UAGGGAAUAUUGGGCAAUGGGUGCGAGCCUGACCCAGCCAUGCCGCGUGCAGGAAGACGGCCCUCAGGGUUGUAAACUGCUUUUCUACGGGAAGAAAGAGGGUCUGCGGGUCCAGUUGACGGUACCGUAGGAAUAAGCACCGGCUAACUCCGUGCCAGCAGCCGCGGUAAUACGGAGGGUGCAAGCGUUGUCCGGAUUUAUUGGGUUUAAAGGGUACGUAGGCGGGUGUCUAAGUCAGUGGUGAAAGCCUGCAGCUCAACUGUAGAAUUGCCAUUGAUACUGGAUAUCUUGAGUGCAGUAGAGGUGGGCAGAAUUCAUGGUGUAGCGGUGAAAUGCAUAGAUACCAUGAGGAAUACCGAUAGGGGAGCCAGCUCACUGGACUGUUACUGACGCUAAGGUACGAAAGCGUGGGGAGCGAACA
rnacentral:rRNA from 1 species